rnacentral:rRNA from 1 species
UUUCGGUUAAAUCCAUGUGCUCAACACAUGGGCUGUCGAGAAUACUGCAUAGCUAGGGAGUGGGAGAGGUAGACGGUACUCGGUAGGAAGGGGUAAAAUCCUUUGAUCUAUUGAUGACCACCAGUGGCGAAGGCGGUCUACCAGAACACGUCCGACGGUGAGGGAUGAAAGCUGGGGGAGCAAACCGGAUUAGAUACCCGGGUAGUCCCAGCUGUAAACUAUGCAAACUCAGUGAUGCAUUGGCUUGUGGCCAAUGCAGUGCCGCAGAGAAGUCGUUAAGUUUGCCGCCUGGGAAGUACGUACGCAAGUAUGAAACUUAAAGGAAUUGGCGGGGGAGCACCACAAGGGGUGAAGCCUGCGGUUCAAUUGGAGUCAACGCCAGAAAUCUUACCCGGAGAGACAGCAGAAUGAAGGUCAAGCUGAAGACUUUACCAGACAAGCUGAGAAGUGGUGCAUGGCCGUCGCCAGCUCGUGCCGUGAGAUGUCCUGUUAAGUCAGGUAACGAGCGAGAUCCCUGCCUCUAGUUGCCACCAUUACUCUCAGGAGUAGUGGGGCGAAUUAGCGGGACUGCCGCAGUUAAUGCGGGAGGAAGGAGGGGGCCACGGCAGGUCAGUAUGCCCUGAAACUCUGGGGCCACACGCGGGCUGCAACGGUAGUGACAGUGAGUUCCUAAUCCGAAAGGAGGAGGUAAUCUUCAAACGCUACCACAGUUAUGAUUGAGGGCUGCAACUCGCCCUCAUGAAUAUGGAAUCCCUAGUAACU